AUGCCGUUGGCCGGGAUCGUGCCCUCCUCCGCCGCGGCUUUUCUCCUCCUAUUCGUCCUCUUGGCCGAGGGGCAGCCGGCGGAAGGCCUCAUGGCCAAGAACGGCAGCGAGGCCUUCUUGGCGCCAGAGCCAGAGGUGUGCUACUGCUACCGGAGGAGCGUCACCGACGGGGAAGCCAAGCUGACCAAGACGGUCGCCGUCGGCCCUAUUGAGCUGGGCCUGGGCGCAGUGCCGACGUCAAAGACAACAGCAGUCCCGGCGGACACGCACGCGCCCGCACCUCCAGCGCUAGCCCCGCCUGCCGCUGAAACGGGCUUGAGCUGGCGAGCCAAGGCAUGGUGCUGCUGGGUCCUCGCCGUGGCAACGGUGGUCGUCGUGUUCGUGGUGAGGCCUGAAACGUUCCUAGUAUCACCGCGAAUCGACGGCAUGUUCAUCACCGACGGCGAGGGAGAUCCGCCGGUUGAUGGCAACGAACAUACCACCAUGGGCAUGGAUACGGUGCCCGACAUCCUCAAAGUCAGCGUCGACUCAAGCGAAACUAGGCGAGAACGUGGAUCGAGUCCGAUGCCCCGACCCCAGCCGCACGACCCCAUGUUGAUCGCCGAUACCAAUGGGGAUUCGCUGGUGGACGGCCACCACGACGGCCGCGGCGAGCUCUUCUACUGCCCCAUGUGCAUGGAGGCGGCGCCCAUCAUCCUCAAAUCCCGCUUCGACUCGUGCGACGACCACGCCUUCUGCUCGAGCUGUGUCGCCAAGUACGUCGCUGUGAAGCAGCGCCAGGACAUCGCUCUUCCCGUCGAAUGCCCCGACUGCGAGGACGACGCCUGCCGCGACCCCUUGUUGAACAGCGAUGGCGAGGGCAAUGGAGAUUCACGGGCGGACGGCAACGGUAAGCGCUUCUACUGCGCCAAGUGCAUGCAUGUGGCGCCAUGUGCAUGUAUACGGCCCAGCUUCACCUCGUGCGCCCACGACUUCUGCUCGAGCUGUGUUUCUCGUCAACUGCGAGGACGCCGCUGCCAAGCCGGAAAGCUUCCGCGGCAUCACCCCACCGACACCGACCUCCUCCCCAAGGGCAAUGGAGAUUUGCCGGUCGACGUUGGCGGGGAGCUCUUCGACUGCGCCAUCUGCAUGGAGCUGGUGCCCGGCACCCUCAAGUUCAGCGUCAACUCGUGCGCCCACGCCUUCUGCUCGGGCUGCGUCGCCCAGUACAUCGCCGCCAAGCUUGACGACAAGGUCGCUCGCAUCGGAUGCCCGCACCCAGGCUGUGAGGACGGUGCCGUCGAGCCGGAGAGCUGCCACGGCAUCAUCCCCACGGACCUCCUCGACAAGUGGGGCUUGCUGCUGUGCGAGCUCGCGGUAGGCGCCAAGAGGAUGUACUGCCCGUACCGGGAAUGCUCGGCGCUCCUGCUCGCCGACAGCGAGGCGGCGAUCGCCGAGGCGGAGUGCCCGCACUGCCACCGGCUUUUCUGCGCCCGGUGCGCCGUGCCGUGGCACGGCGGCUUCGGGUGCGACGAGUUCCAGAAGCUCGGGCCGGAGGAGCGCGGCCGGGAGGACCUCUUGCUCCGGCGUCUCGUCGGCAAGGAGGGCUGGCAGCGGUGCCCCGAGUGCCAGAUGUUCGUGGAGAAAUCGGAAGGGUGCAACUACAUCAAAUGCAGGUGUGGAUACAGCUUCUGCUACCGAUGCGCAUCCGAGUUGUCCGCGCAAAACCAUUACUGCAACAAGUGCAAGCGCUAA
rnacentral:rRNA from 1 species